UACGGGGGGGGCAAGCGUUGUUCGGAAUUACUGGGCGUAAAGGGCUUGUAGGUGGCCAACUAAGUCAGACGUGAAACCCCUCGGCUUAACCGGGGAACUGCGUCUGAUACUGGAUGGCUUGAGUGUGGGAGAGGGAUGCGGAAUUCCAGGUGUAGCGGUGAAAUGCGUAGAUAUCUGGAGGAACACCGGUGGCGAAGGCGGCAUCCUGGACCAUUACUGACACUGAAAAGCGAAAGCCAGGGGAGCAAACGGG
rnacentral:rRNA from 1 species